GCCAGCUGAAUUUUCAACAGAGACAAUGAAGCCACAAUACAAUGAUUUGGCAUCUUUAACGUGCUGAAAAUGUCCGCCAACUUAGAAUUCUAUUCCUGUGAAAACACCUGUCAAAACUGAAGUAUAAAGAAAAAAAUAUAUUGUUUCCAGCAGACUUGCCCUACAAAGCAGCUCCUCAGAUGGAAGAAAAAUUAUACCAGGUGGAAACACAGAAAUCAGAAAGGAAGGAAGAGCCUCCGAAAGGGUAAAAUAUACUUAAUUCCCGGUCCGAGGAAGACAACACAAAAGUCUUAUCCAAUCACAGCAUUAAGGUCAAAGUCCACAUAUUGAGUCUGGGUACUUCCUUUGGAUGCAAAGACCCACGAACCAAAAAGAUUACAAUCUGACCCCCAUCUCCGGUGGUGAAAUAGAAAGAAGAUGAUCACACCC
rnacentral:lncRNA from 1 species